GCAUCUAGUGUUAAGACUUCCGAGCCUUUGCGUGGUAAAGCGAGGAGUUAACGAUCGAAAGCGAGGAGUUAAGGUUCGUAUUCUAAAAGAAGAGGAGGAGGUAAGAGGAACUUGACGGAGAGUAAGGAAGGCGGACCAAGGCUGAGCGUGAGAAACGACAACCACCAUUGUUUAUUAAACUGCUUCACUGCUUUGAAGCACGGUAUUUCUUCUCGGUGACUACUCAUACAGUCUUCAGCUCCGGCGAGAUCCUAGGGUUUGGGUUUGGGUUUGGAUUU
rnacentral:misc_RNA from 1 species